rnacentral:rRNA from 1 species
UACGGGGGGGGCAAGCGUUGUUCGGAAUUACUGGGCGUAAAGGGCUCGUAGGCUGCCAACUAAGUCAGACGUGAAAUCCCUCGGCUUAACUGGGGAACUGCGUCUGAUACUGGAUGGCUUGAGUUUGGGAGAGGGAUGCGGAAUUCCAGGUGUAGCGGUGAAAUGCGUAGAUAUCUGGAGGAACACCGGUGGCGAAGGCGGCAUCCUGGACCAACACUGACACUGAGGAGCGAAAGCCAGGGGAGCAAACGGG